rnacentral:rRNA from 1 species
ACUCAAAUGAAUAGACGGGGACCCGCACAAGCGGUGGAGCGCCUGGUUUAAUUCGACACUAAGCGAAAAACCUUACCAAGGCUUGACAUGUAGAGAAGUUUGGAGAAAUUUGAAUGUGCCCGCAAGGGAACUCUAACACAGAUGCUGCAUGGCUGUCGUCAGUUCGUGUCGUGAGAUGUUUGGUUAAGUCCAUCAACGAGCGCAACCCUCGCCCAAUGUUACAUUACUUUGGGGACUGCCGUGUUAUAACACGGAGGAAGGUGGGGAUGACGUCUAGUCCGCAUGGCUCUUACGCCUUGGGCUACACAGACGCUACAAUGGCCAGUACAAUGGGUUGCCAACCCGCAAGGGGGAGCCAAUCCCACAAAACUGGUCCCAGUUCGGAUUGUAGGCUGAAAUUCGCCUAUAUGAAGCUGGAAUCGCUAGUAAACGCGCUUCAGCAGUACGCGUUGAAUACGUUCUCGGGUCUUGUACACACCGCCCGU